UACGGCCUGCACGCAGGCACCCACCCAGUCCGACUCUCAGAGUUGCAGAGAGCAGACAUGGGCAGGUGGUUCUCCCAGCCCGGCUACGGGCGUGUGGUCAGGCCUGCGGAGAAUACAGCUCCGCCGGGGGCCAUAGGAGGGGUGGAUUGGGCUUUAAAGCCCUCCCGCCCCAUAACGGCGGCCGGGGCCGCGCGAGGCGGGGAUUGGGCUUCGGAGCCCUCCCGCCACAUCGGUAGGCAGCCCAGGCCAUGGAGGAUCGCCCACGCGCUGCCAGCCAUGGGCAACCUCUUCUGGGCCUUCAUAGGCCUCGUGGUGCGGCCGGGCAACCUCUGCCGGGCCUUCUUUUCUGCCAGGCCUUCUUAGGCCCCACCUCGCUGUGCGGCCAGGUGCCGCGGCCUGUUUCAGGCUGCACGUGGCCACGGCGCCUGGCCCAAGGUAGGUUCAUUGGGGGGGGCGGCUUGAGUGCUCCGGGUCCCGACUGCGACCUGGGAACACGUGGCCGGGCCCUCAGGCCUCGGACUGCUGAAGACCUUGCCAAGCUGCUUUUCAGGGAUCUCUUGCUGCAUUGAUGUCUGUGUUGGCAAGAAAUGGACAGUGGCAACACAGCCCCCACCUACCCCCAGUAAUAUUUCUUGGUGAUUGAUGUGCUGAGCUCCAUGUCUGGCCUUGAGACUAACUUGUGCUUCACUCACUACUCUGCAAUCCACAAGGACUUGGUGCCAGUGAAGAGGGUAGAAGAAUCAGAACAAAGCAAAAGUGACAUCUAGUUGAAAUGAGAAGAGUACAGGGAAAGGAAAAAAAAGUAUGCAUAAUAGAUAUGAAUACAUGAAUUGAUUUUGAAAGAGGAAUAAAAGAUGGGUAUGAUGUCAUGUUUCAGGCAAAGACCCCUCCCUCCCUCUUUCCCUUGUCACAAAUUUGAUACCCAUAAUCUAUUCUUGUAUACUGUAUGGAUGAUCCAUCUUAAAGAGACAAGUCUUGCAAGAGAGGAAAGGUAGGAUGGUCAUUAAACUUAUUUGAUUGUCAAUCAUGCUGAAAUAACACCUGUAUUUAUUUUGACCAAUAACUGUGUUGCAUUUUAGAUAAUGUAUUGUUUAGCAUUAAGUAGGCAAAGACCUCUUAAGCAUUCUUUCCAUGUCUCAUUAGCAUGUGCAUGAUACGAUCAACUCAUACCAAGUUUUUAAAUUUAAGUAAUGCCCUGAUUAGGAAUGUAAUUCAAUGUUUGUAUUUUAUCCAUUCAUGUCUUGUUCAUAUGACCAACUGGCCAUGUGGUGGUGGCUGUUCUGCACGACAAGCUAUUCAUCUAGAAAUGUCUGAAGUUCACCAGAUUUUGAAAAACUCAGGGGUGGUUCCAUGGUUGCCCCAGUGAUAAAUGUGAACUGUGUUUCUGGAAACUGAAACCUGGGAAGAUUGCCAGAAAACGAUAUCUUCUGAAAUGGUGACCUGCCAGGAGUCCAGUAUAAUCUGAACUGAUGCCAAAGGAGUGGACCUAUUCAAGCAUAGAGAUUUUAGAGUUGAUCCCCACUGGGACAAACCUCUAGUCAACAAAACGUAAAGGACUGCUAGAUAGAAUACAACACACCCCUAAGACAAUUUUGAAGAGCAACAGAGAGCUGUUGAUCUUCCCAUGUUUUGGUGACCACUCUCUUAAGUGUGACAUACAGAGGAGACAAGAGUGAUAUCCAACAGUUCCAGCUGUUCUCAUGCAAACAGAUUUCCUGUCCAAGCAGAGCCACGAUGACCACAUUAAUAAAAGUCUGCAAGCUAAUGGAGCUUUGACUGAAUAGCUGCAAAGUUAAAUAUAGCACAGCAUAUCUACAAAUACAACUUUACGCAAUUUUUUAUUCUUUGUUGGGAUAAAUGAAAUCUUAUGAGGAGACCUUUAGCAAUUUUCCCCACUGGGAACAAGAUAUCACAUGCGUAUUACAUUUUGAACAAAUGGCUCAAGGAGAAAGUUUGGGGGAGGGAGAAUCCUAUAACAUAUUUUGAGAAUCAAAUAAUACAUUUUUUAAAAAAGUUAAAUAUUUAUAAAUAUCAGGGACUGAUCUAUUAAAAAGUGCUAGAAUUGAUCAUUUAGUUGUGUGUGUUACUGAAAAGCCUAACUUCAUUGCUAAGGGAUUCAUUGCUAAGGUUAAGCCAAGGACAAUUAACCCAGGUUACAUGGAAUGACUGUAGAGAACCCAACAUACCUUCCUUCUGGCCUCAUCUAUAGGUGGUUUCUUAGAUGGACUAAACAGACUCAGCUUUCUGGCUGGACAAUUCUGGUAGCCUGUGCUGCUGUUUGAGCUGAUAGUAAUAAAAGAGAGAGAAUGACCUAUUGCAUCUAUAACCAGUAGAUGUCGCCAUUGCUACACAAAAUAUAGAUAGGGUUUAUUUCCCCAGAAUUUCUAUUCUCUUUUAGUUUGCUUUGCUUUCUUCAUGCUUGUAUUUUGGCAUUUCCCCCUAAUACUUCCAUAUUCUUAGUCAUAUUAGCUUUUCAUCUUUCUCCCAGUUCCUUAUCUUCAAUCUCUGUUCUCAAGUGCUAUAAAUAAAAUGUGGCAGUUUGCAGAAAGUGUUGUCUGCUGAUAAACAUGGCCCAACGAUGAAGAAGAAUUCAUAAAAGUCUAAUAUUAUCAACACAGAAUCACAGACAUGCUCUAAACCUUAAUAAACACCAUUUUGGUUCUUUAUAGAUAUUUUCCUGUUCUAUUUGUAAGCUUGGAAAGAAAAAAACAUUUUUUUAAAAACAAGCACAGAACUAUUAUGGCCAAUUUCCACAUUACGUUUUGAUACACAUGGACCUACACAUUAUUUUUCCAUGUGAAAAGAAAGCAUGUGUCUUGUAGUGUGAAAACGAACACACACAUUUGUUUUUCCUUCCUGCAGAGCUGUGUCCUUGGAAGUGUAAGUUGUGUGUGUGUGUGUGUGUGUGUGUGAUGGAUUAAGUUAACAGUUUUGUUCUAGAAGGCUGCCUAUGCCUUAAACAGCCUCAUUACUUAAGGAAAUCAGCAGGUGAAACAGCAUCUCAGCAUCUCUUGCCCACCCAUGUAGGAAACAGGGACAUUUCUGUGGAGCAGCCAUUUUGUGGAGGAGCCAUUUUGAUAGCAAAAUUACCCCUUUCCAAGUUAUACUGUUGAAAUCCACAUGCCUCUGCACCACAUUUUUAAAAACUGUAAUUUAAACCUCAGGUUGUCAAAUAGUGCAGUGCAGGUUACUUUCACCACCACCCCACCCUAUCCUGUCGCUUUCUAUCAAUGGCCAGUUUGGAUUUAUAGUCAAAAAUAACCCAUAUAAUAGACACCACAAAGCACACAUCAAGUCACAGCACCUAUCAUUCUAAUUCAGUUCUUCAUUUUGACUCUACCUGUCCAAAUCCUGCAUUAAAUUUCAUGUAGCAGCUUCAUGUUUCAUUGACUUUUAGCAACCACGUUUCACUUGGGCCUGGAGCAAAGUGUAUAUACCCUUAAGCUACCCAGUAUGUGUCACAAUAGUGUUUUCCUAUCUCAGUACUAUUUUCUUUCUCUCACAAAGAAUUAUAGCUGCAACAGGUUCAAUGGUAGAAACUGUAUAAAAUGAAACUGUAUAAAGUGUGCCAUUAUGUUGGUGUCGAUUCCGGGCAACCACAGGGCCCUAUGGUUGUCUGGUAGAAUACAGGCGGGGUUUAUCAUUGCCUCCUUCCACCGAGUAUGAGAUGAUGCCUUUCAGCAUCGUUGGCCGAUAUAGGUGCAUAGUCUUGGAAACAUACCAGUGGGGAUUCGAGCCAGCAACCUCUGGCUUGCUAGGCAAGUCAUUUCCCUACUGCACCAUUAGGUGGCUGACAGAACUUGUAUAUUAACUGUAAAUUGUAUAUUAACCCUAACCCCUGCUAACUUGGCAAAGAAGCACCCUUUUAACAUGGUGAUUCUCUUUAUUUAGCAGGGGGAGAGUAACUGGCCCUCUCCACCCCCAGCACAGUACCUCCAGGGACUGUUGCUGGUGUCUAUCUUAUGUUUCUUUUUUAGAUUGUGAGGCCUUUGGGGACUUGGAUCUAUCUUAUUUAGUUAUUAUUUCUCUGUGUAAAUCGCCCUGAGCCAUUUUUGGAAGGGCGGUAUAGAAAUUGAAUAAAUGAAUGAAUAAAUAAAUACAUACAUACAUACAUAA